GUCCCGCAGCACUGCUCCUUUCCAGUCCCAAGCGUGAUCCUUCUGUGCAGGAAAAUGGCUGCUUCUCGUUCUCCAACUAGUUUUUGUUCAGUUAAAGGCCAGUGAAGAUCCUACUUAGGGUUGUUAAAUCCACAUAGUGUGGAGGUGCUUGCACCAAGGGAAGCAGCCAUAUGUUUGACAAAUGCCCUCAUCUCCCAGGCCCAAGGCCCCACCAGCUUCCUCAUUUGACUCCUGGUUAAUCCUGCUUUCCUUUAAGCCAAAAGAUUUUAAAUAUUUUCAUUUUAUUUGCUGAUCAAUUUUGUUUCUCUACGUUUCAUUUCUAGUAAAGUACUCUCACGGUUGGCCUCAGGACCUUCUCAGGACAAACAUACAGUGUUUCAGACCAGCCUGCACUACAAAGAGUUCUGCUCCCCUGUCAACAUUGCCCAGGUGGAGAAACCCCGCGUCACCCACUCAGGAUUCCACCUGUGCCUGGGUGAGGGGAAGCCUCCAAGGGCUCCUGGGCCUCUGAGGAGUGGAAAUCAAGAACAAAACCAAGACUCCAUCCAAAAGGAAAGGGUGUCCGCCAUAGGCCCCUUAGAUACAGCUUCUGGUGAGGAAUUGUAGCAGUGGAGAUGGUUAAAUAAGAAAUAGCUGAUUCGCACCCCUGGCUGCACGUUAGAGUCACCUAGGGAGCAUUUCAAAACUCAGACCAGGCAGCACCCAGGUCCACUGGUCAGGUCCCGCAGGUGGUCCAAACAGGUGGUUUUAAGCUUGCAUGUGCAUCAGAUCUGGGGGCUGCCUUCCAGAAGGACUGCCUACAGCUGCUCAUCGGUGACGGAAUUCGCCAAGCAAAUUAGAUGGGGUUUUGCCAAUCUUCUGUCAACCCCGCCGACACUUCCGACUCACACAGUCAGAAUAGGCGCACCUUAUCGGGCACUCAGUUCAAUUCACGUGUCGUUCGCUCUAACGGCGGGAUGGUGCCGCCACUGUUCGAAUAAAAGGAUGUCGGGUUCCCUGACCUGCGAUGUCUUACUACCCAGAUUCAACGGCGGGUUUACCUCACGUGUCGCUGCUGCCGGCCACCGGCGCGGUGGGAGCUGCCUCCACCUGCGCCGCCUCGUUCACUCCCCAGAGCCCGGGAGGCUUGCACAUCAGAAAGGUUUCCAGCUGGAAUUUUCCUCCCUCUACUCAGCCUUCAAAUACUCCAUUCCUAAACCACGUACCUCUUCCCUUUUAUCGGUCUUCAGAAGUUGCCGUCCAAACCCAGUGAGUAUUUCCAGGAAGAAACUUUAAACAUUAAACAUCUUAAAACUCAAGGCGUGUUCGGAAGAAAGCACAGUGAGCUUUGAUGGGAGGUGGAUAAUCAUCAGGGAGUCAUUUCUGGAAAUUUAGAUAAUACGGUUGUUUCUUUUAAUGCCACAUUCUCCUGGGAGGAUGGGAAGACCAUUUGACUGAUUCUGCUCCAAAAUCCUGCUGAAGCAAAGGCUGAGCCCCAGUUCUUCGCGGAACAGCAGCCUGGGCCUGGCCUGGUGCACGUAUCGCAGAACUGGAAAGGCAGCAACACAAUGUCCUCAAAAGAAGCCGGCCUCUCCCCUCGAUGGGCAGACAGCUCUGAUGGGAGCCAAACUCGGAUGUUCCUCAGUUAGAACCUGUGUUCAUCGGGCCCAGGAGGAAUCGGGAAGAUUCUGUGGAAACCAGCUGUCAAAUGUGAGCUGUCUCGCUAGCAGAAUUUUAAAAGGUUGGCCUCGGGGCCUGGGGGCCCUCACCACUGUGGCCAGACCUUCCAUCAGAACCCUCAGUCUGAGAGGCUGGUUAUAAGAAACCUACAUUGUGUGCCAGCAUCUUCCAAAGGAAAUACCGUGAGAUUCUCUCAGUGGGUCAAUCUCAUUUUCUCCAGCGCAGACGAGGCUGAGCAGUGACCUGUGACCCAACUUUGCCUUCCCCAUCAUGAGAAGCAGGCCCUUUGGACCUGCUGGCACGGCUGAGCCGGUAUUUCUGGAACCGCUGACUGAGAAAACUCACCGCACCGUGAACGCUGCCAGAAAUUCCUCGGGUUUACUCACGUUCAUCUGUAUUCCAGAACAGUCCUCAGCAAGAUUGGCUAGUGGUGCUUGAGCAAGGCACUGUUUGGCAAGUCAAAACUUAAAGAACCUCUUUUUGUACGAAGUCAUGUAGCGAAGUGGGGAAGAAUUCUUGGGAACCCAGUUGAUGUGGUAAUUUGUCUGCUUUACGCCAUAUUUAACACCAUUGAGACGUGAAGCGUUUGCUUCCUCGGGAACUAGCUGUUCUCAUGGGGAUGUUAUAACUCCCUCUUCACACGACGUGCGCUUGGUGCUGGGAAGCUCUGAAGGGUUUGCGGUGGCGUCUGGCCAGAAUCACUAAAGCUCUAAGCGUAUCCCUUCUUCUGUAUUCUACCGUUACCCUUUCUUCCAUAUUUUGGUCUGAGAACAGGUAUGUGUUCUGGAUUUAAACACAAUAUACAUCGAGAGAAUAUUUUUUCCUCAGAGAAGAAGAUCUGUAUUACAGAACAAUCAUUUGUUCAACCAAACCACCUUAUGGCCGUGGUUCUUAAAAUGUGGUCCCCCAGGCCAGCAGCAGAAAUGCAGACUCCCAGGCCUGCCCACCCCCAAUGAAUCAGAGACCUUGGUGGGCCCGGCAGCCGGAGUUUAACACACCAUCCAGGCAUGAGAACCAGGGCCUUCGCUGUCAACCUUGGUUGUCCAGUAGCUUUGGGGAGUCAGACUAAACAUAAGAAGCCCCUGGGGCGUCGAUUAACACACAAAUUCCUGGGUUCUUCCUUUUUAUAUCCUGCCCCAGCAUUUGUGGGGAGGGCUGGGGAGCCAUGUUUCUGUCAAUGCCACAGCUAUGGCUGUUCUAUGUUAUUUCCUACUCGGGACACACUGCACAGAGAAGUGGGAGAAGAUGUUCUCCUGCCGAGUCACUCGGCCUGGGCCAGUCCUAAAGUGAUGUAACAGGAAUUGACUCUUCAUUUGCCCAGAACAUCUGAGCGCCGGGCUGGAGCGGGACCUUUCGGAUCCUGUCAGACGAGGCGUUUGCCCUCCAGCCUGAGGAGUCGAGGGCGUGAAGAGCCUCACUCCACAAAGAUCUGAAUCACUUUAAAUCAAUUUGCUUCUUAUUAAAAUGUACUUCAAUAAAAAAUAAUUUCAA